rnacentral:rRNA from 1 species
AUGACGCUGCUGGAGGUCGGGAGCGUGCCUCGCCGGAGGAGGACGGUGCCUAAGCCUCCACCCGCCGCCACGGGCAUUGGCCGCCAUGGGUCGGCGGACGCCAAGGGGGGCGGCGGAUCUUGCGGCUGCUCCGCGGCGUCCGUUGCCGCCGCGGCGGCUCAACGGAAAGCCGGGGAAGGAGGGGAGCGCGAGGGCGAGGGGAAGAUCUUGGCCGCGUACCAGAGCCUGCCGCCCGGCCCCGCCGCGGCGCUCCGGCCUCACGUCGCCUGCCGCCGCCGGGCCCAAUCUUCCCCAAGCAAGAGGCGCAAGAAGCGGCGUCGGCUGCUCGACGGCGUGUUCUGGGUCGGCGUCGGCAUGGAGUCCGCGCCCGCCACGGCGGCGGACGACCCGUCGCUGGACGAGAUCGGCGUGGUGGACGGCGCGCUGCGGGACGUCCUGAGGGACCUGGGCGCGUCGCGGCCGGUCCGCGUCUACGGGAAGUGGCUGUGCAAGACGGACCGGCUGCUGCAGCAGCACCGGCUGCUCAUGUCGCGCAAGAGCUGGCGGCGCGGCGAGCCGUUCCCGCUGGACGAGGCGCUGACGGCGGAGGAGAAGCCGAGCGUGCAGGUGCAGGCCUUCGACCGGCGCGGCAGGCCCUACGUGCUCGGCCUCAAGAAGCUGGGCUGCAACGACGCCUACCGCCUCAUCGCCGGCUGGGGCAGCUUCCUGACCCAGAACGGCCUGGACGUGGCGGGCGACGCCAGGGCCGAGGACCUGGAGCCGGCCAUGGUGGAGCUGUGGGCGUUCCGGUCGCCGGUGCUGCAGGUGGGCGUCGCCGGCCAGCCACGCGGCCCGCUCGGGCUCGUCGUCAUGCAUUACCGCCAGGGAGACGCACCCCACGCCGACGCCGCCAUCGCAGAGAUCCUGGCCACCGUCAGGAACAGAGCGGCGAUGCCGCCGCCAUUGCCAAUUGCCAGUGACAGCGAGCCGGACGAGAGGACGCUGGAGGCUGCGCAAGGGUUGCUAAUGCUGAGCGAGAGUCCGGUGGAUUUCGCUUGUAGAGAGAACACCCGGCGCCUGGCAUCGUUGAUCCUUUGA